rnacentral:rRNA from 1 species
UACGGAGGGUGCAAGCGUUGUUCGGAUUUACUGGGCGUAAAGGGCGCGUAGGCGGCGCGGUAAGUCACUUGUGAAAUCUCUGAGCUUAACUCAGAACGGCCAAGUGAUACUGCAGUGCUAGAGUGUGGAAGGGGCAAUCGGAAUUCUUGGUGUAGCGGUGAAAUGCGUAGAUAUCAAGAGGAACACCUGAGGUGAAGACGGGUUGCUGGGCCAACACGUGACGCUGAGGCGCGAAAGCCAGGGGAGCAAACGGG